rnacentral:rRNA from 1 species
AGAUUGAACGCUGGCGGCAUGCCUUACACAUGCAAGUCGAACGGCAGCACGGGAGCAAUCCUGGUGGCGAGUGGCGAACGGGUGAGUAAUACAUCGGAACGUGCCCAAUCGUGGGGGAUAACGCAGCGAAAGCUGUGCUAAUACCGCAUAAGAUCUACGGAUGAAAGCAGGGGAUCGCAAGACCUUGCGCGAAUGGAGCGGCCGGUGGCAGAUUAGGUAGUUGGUGAGGUAAAGGCUCACCAAGCCUUCGAUCUGUAGCUGGUCUGAGAGGACGACCAGCCACACUGGGACUGAGACACGGCCCAGACUCCUACGGGAGGCAGCAGUGGGGAAUUUGGACAAUGGGCGAAAGCCUGAUCCAGCCAUGCCGCGUGCAGGAUGAAGGCCUUCGGUGUAACUGCUUUGUACGGAACGAAAGUCUACUUACUAAUAAAGAGGAUCAUGACGUACGUAAGAAUAAGACACCGGCUAACUACGUAGACCG